rnacentral:snRNA from 1 species
GGAUGUGAGGGUGAUCUGGCAGCCAUUGAUCGCCAGGGUUGAUUUGGCUGAUCUGGCUGGCUAGGUGGGUGUCCCCUUCCUCCCUCACAGCUCCAUGUGCAUCCCUCCUGAAGCUGUGCGCCUUCCCCAAUAGAGACGGGUCUUGGGUCGAGGGUAUAGAGUAGCUGCGCUCCCCUGCUGGAACCUCCAAAUAAGUUCUCAAGGUCCAAUACCCUGUCAUCUCUGCAUAAGACCAAACUUAUUCAUUCCCAACAACUUUAGUCAUU